AUUGAACGCUGGCGGCAUGCCUUACACAUGCAAGUCGAACGGUAACAGGUCUUCGGAUGCUGACGAGUGGCGAACGGGUGAGUAAUACAUCGGAACGUGCCCGAUCGUGGGGGAUAACGAGGCGAAAGCUUUGCUAAUACCGCAUACGAUCUACGGAUGAAAGCGGGGGAUCUUCGGACCUCGCGCGGACGGAGCGGCCGAUGGCAGAUUAGGUAGUUGGUGGGAUAAAAGCUUACCAAGCCGACGAUCUGUAGCUGGUCUGAGAGGAUGAUCAGCCACACUGGGACUGAGACACGGCCCAGACUCCUACGGGAGGCAGCAGUGGGGAAUUUUGGACAAUGGGCGAAAGCCUGAUCCAGCCAUGCCGCGUGCAGGAUGAAGGCCUUCGGGUUGUAAACUGCUUUUGUACGGAACGAAAAGCCUCUUUCUAAUAAAGAGGGGUCAUGACGGUACCGUAAGAAUAAGCAUCGGCUAACUACGUG
rnacentral:rRNA from 1 species